UACGGGGGGGGCAAGCGUUGUUCGGAAUUACUGGGCGUAAAGGGCUCGUAGGCGGCCAACUAAGUCAGACGUGAAAUCCCCAGGCUCAACCUGGGAACUACGUCUGAUACUGGAUGGCUUGAAUCCGGGAGAGGGAUGCAGAAUUCCAGGUGUAGCGGUGAAAUGCGUAGAUAUCUGGAGGAAUACCGGUGGCGAAGGCGGCAUCCUGGACCGGCAUUGACGCUGAGGAGCGAAAGCCAGGGGAGCAAACGGG
rnacentral:rRNA from 1 species